rnacentral:sRNA from 1 species
AAAAAAAGGAAGCUCCUCGGAGCUUCCUUUUUUUGCUUGUACGCGGCGGGAUGAGGGAUAAUGGCUUCGAGGAGCGUCGUCAUCCGCAAUCGAUGUGAAAA